UCUCUCUUUCUCCCGACUGCUGCUCUCGGCACCUUCUCUUUUCCUUUUUUCUUUUUUUUUUUCACUUCAAGCUUUAACCCUUGAUUACUCUCUCAAUCCUUGCCGGAUUUAGGUGCCGUUUGAGGCAAAACGAUGAGUGUGACGAGCUCUACGUUCUAGUACCAGCAAUUCUAGUUUUGCUACCUUCCUUGGAGCUCGAAUUUGAGGACCCAUUUUCUAGGGUUUUGGUGCAAUCUUGAGGUCUUGGAAAAGAACUGGUGGACGACAACCCACCUCAAGCUUGAGCGAUACUAGAAGCUCACUUUUGUGUCUUUUGUAUAUCUCCCAUUAUUUUUGCAAAGCACUAAAAGUGUGAAGGUGUAUAUGUAUAUUUUGCAAAAACUUUGUCAUGUAAUGUAAUUAAGGUAUUUGAUGAUAUUUUGGAUGUGAAUUUGAUAACAUGUAAACCUUAUUGAUGAAUGGGGAGAGUAAUACUAGUUUGAAGUA